GAGAGAGAAGGGCAAAGGGUCCUUAUCAGACAACAAUGGAGAACCGUGUAAGAUCAGAAGAACAAAGACAAAGGCUUCGUUCUUACAUUG